rnacentral:rRNA from 1 species
UACGUAGGGCGCAAGCGUUGUUCGGAAUUACUGGGCGUAAAGAGUGUGUAGGCGGUGCUGCAAGUCUGGUGUGAAAUCUCCCGGCUCAACUGGGAGGGUGCGCCGGAAACUGCAGUGCUAGAGGGUGGGAGAGGUAAGCGGAAUUCCUGGUGUAGCGGUGAAAUGCGUAGAUAUCGAGGAGGAACACCUGUGGUGUAGACAGCUUACUGGACCACUUCUGACGCUGAGACACGAAAGCGUGGGUAGCAAACAGG